UUUCCGUAGGUGAACCUGCGGAAGGAUCAUUAUCGAAGCAAAGGGCCCUUCGGGUUGUUGCUGGCCUCCUCGCUGAGGCAUGUGCACGCCCCUCGGGCCCGUAUCCUUCUCCACCCCUGUGCACCUUCGCGUGGGUCCGUCCGCGCCAGCCUUCGGAUCCGCGUCUUAUCAAUAAACCCCCCAUGUAUGUCUUCAGGAUGUCUAAUGCGACAAAAAGCAUCUUAUACAACUUUCAACAACGGAUCUCUUGGCUCUC
rnacentral:misc_RNA from 1 species